GUAGUUAGCCGGGGCUUCCUCCCGUGGUACCGUCAUUCUCUUCUUCCCACAGGACAAAAGUUUACAAUCCAAAGACCUUCUUCCUUCACGCGGCGUUGCUGGGUCAGGCUUGCGCCCAUUGCCCAAUAUUCCCCACUGCUGCCUCCCGUAGGAGUCUGGACCGUGUCUCAGUUCCAGUGUGGCCGGCCAACCUCUCAGUCCGGCUACCCAUCGUCGCCUUGGUAGGCCGUUACCCUACCAACUAGCUAAUGGGACGCGAGCUCAUCUUACACCGGAUUUCUCCUUUGACCCCUUGACCAUGUGAUCUCGUGGUCUUAUGCGGUAUUAGCACUGAUUUCUCAGUGUUAUCCCCCUGUGUAAGGCAGAUUGCUCACGCGUUACUCACCCGUCCGCCACUAAGCAAAAACCGAAAUCUUUGCUCCGUUCGACUUGCAUGUGUUAGGCACGCCGCCAGCGUUCGUCCUGAGCCAUAAUCAAACUCUGA
rnacentral:rRNA from 1 species